GCAUUGGUGGUUCAGUGGGAGAAUUCUCCUCUUCUGUGAUGGAGACUCAGGUUCAAUUCCCAGCCAAUGCA
rnacentral:tRNA from 1 species